rnacentral:rRNA from 1 species
GUCUAUGGCCCUGCCACCCUGAUGAUUCCCGUUCUCAUCUGAUCUCAGAAGCUAAGCAGGGUCAGGCCUGGUUAGUACUUGGAUGGGAGAAAUACACACAGGAGUUUGUCA